AAAGAAGCAUAUUCCACCCUUUAUUCCAUACCAUUUAUGUCAUGUUCAGGUCCCAUGGUAUCCACACAAGCUUAUUAAACACCAGCCCACUGCCCAUCUUUUGAUAUCAUUCCCCUAGUCUUUCGACCAUGGUGUAAAAUGUCCAUAAAAUGCCCACAAAUGUCCACAAAGCGAGCAUUCAGUUCAUUUAGUCCAUGCCUUUGGGCCCCAUGGCACGGUGUCACUCAGGGCUGGAGAAGUGGUGUUUGUGGGGAGUUGCUGGGCACCCGAGGCAGCCCAGGUCAGGUCACUGCUGCCCUGCAACUGCUUCUUGUGUAGUUCCUCCACUGGUCCAGGUGGUUCCUGAUGUAGUAAUUCCCAUAACCUGCAACUCAGAUCCUGGGUUAUAACAAUUUUAAGAUAUUUCCAUGUCAAUCUCCACCUCUUUUGGUGGACCUGACUAUUGGGUUUAACGCUGCAGUGAACUCUUCCCUCCUUCCCUGCCCUUGCUCCAGCUUGGAUUUAACCACAGACUGGAGUCCCUUAGGGGUGUCCCUGCUCCAAGUGGAGCUUUAUCCAUGAGCCACAGUCUCCACAGGAAUAUACCUGCUGUGGCACAGAUUUAUCCAGAACCAGCUCGGAGUUGCACCUGCUCCAGUGUGGCCACAACACCUGCAGAGACACACCUGCUCCAGCAUGGCAUUAUCUCUCGGGGUCCAUGUCGAGUUUGACCCCGAGAAUGUAAAAGCCUUUUUCUCCCAGCCCAUGCUGCCAAAGGAGUCUGGAAUGCGCAGGGUCGGUUCUCAAGGCUGUUUAUUUUCUCUUAGCUAGAACAUUCUUUCUCUGACCUGCUGAGCUCUGUCUGGCAGGUCGGCUGUGGCAUUCUGUCUGCCCUCUAGGGUGGUGGUUACAUUUUAUACCAAAAACUACGAGUGCUAUGUUUGCAACAAUGUGCCAAUAUCUAUCGUUUAUGUUGGACAGUGUGUCUCUACCUUAAAGCAGUAGAAAAGUGUCAUCAUCACAGCAAGACAUGGAGGGCAAGAAGAAAAGAAAGAGAUCAGGACACGCCCAAAUCCCUCCAUCUUGUCCCCUUGAACCCUUAUUUUAAAACCCUAAAAUUCUACUUUUUCACCCUGUGUUAUUUCAACUAUCACACUACUGAGACCCUUGUGGCUUGUAAUUCCUCAUACAAAGUUGGCAGUUUUUUCCACAGGCUACAAUCAAAGCCACGGGUGUUUUUGACUUUGUGCCAAGGUCUCCGAGCCCCCUGCCAGGGUCUGGAGCCAGCCAGGGCAGCCAGAGGGAUGUCCUGGGUUCCCACAAUUAUCCUCAGACACAUUCCCUUUGGGAGUGUGCUUCAACAGGGCCCUACCCCUGCCUCCAUCCCUCUGUGUGUGCUAAUCCAUGGCCAGUUUCAGGUGCUCCAGCAUGGCCUCACGCACAGCCAUGCAUGUUCAAGGUGCACCUGCUGCAGCACGGACAGCAGCAGCUGCCCUGAGAUGUCCCUUCUCCAGAGUGGAUUUAUCCCUUUGGAGGCACAGCUUUUGCAGGAUGGACAUGCCCACAGCCACACACUUCCAGAAGUACCUGCCCUGGCGUGGAGUUAUCAGACACUUUGGGGUAUCCUAUUCCUGUGUGGACUCAUGCCCAGGUCCCAGCACCUCUGACUGGAGCUCACCUGGAGUCCCAACCUGCCCAGCCAGCCCAGCACAGAUGCAGCAGCGGUGCCACAUCUCCCUGGCUGUUCUCCAGGUGUUCCAGGCACAGCUCAGUGAGAUGAUCGGCACCACAGCCAGCAGGGAACGCCAAAAACUGCCACUAAUGAGCACAAGACUGCAAUCUGAGCGUGAGCCGAGCCCCCAGCAAGCACCAGAGCUGCCAAUUAACAGCUCAACAGCACUCACACCUAUAGAUUCCACCCAGCACAUUCCAAUAGAACCUGUCACUAUCUUGAACGCUUGGGACACCACAGCAGGCAGCAAAAAGGACUCCUGUGGGCUGCUGCACACACAGGCAAAGCAAACCAGGGGAUUAAUUCCCCACUUCCUAUGGGCAGGGAGGUGCUCAGCCAUACCCAGGACAGUCAGGCUCCGUCAUGGUAACAGGGACUUGGGCAGAUAAUUGUCAUCACUCAGAAUAUCCCCCACUUCCUCUUUCUUCCCUGGCUUUACAUUAUGGUCUGGGAUGUCCCUGGGCUCAGCUGUGCUCAGCUGUCCACAGUGUCACCCCCCAGCUCCUUGUGCACUCCUCUUGCUGGGGGAGUGAGGAGCAGAAGAGCCCUGGCUGUGCCAGCCCUGCUCAGUAACUAAAACACCUCUGAGUUAUCAGCAGUUUCCAGCACAGAUCCCAAGCACAGCCUACACCACCUACUCUGAGGAGAAUUAACCCCACCCCAGCCCAAAGCAGCACCAUGUUAUUAACCCAGCAGUGUGCCAGCUGUGUCUAGACACUCCACAUGGAGACACCAACUGAUUUUCUGUACAUACCUGUAGCAGAAGCUGACAGCCCUUUCAUACAAUUCCCAAACUGAAUAAAAUGAGAAAUCUGGGUUCAGAGUGCAAUUAGUGCUUCUUGUGGGCACAGAAUUUAUGGCAUUCCUCCUGAAGCCUUCUCAGGGGCAGGCAGGACCUCCUGCCUCCUCUUCCUGGAGUACAGAGAGAAUUUUGGCUGGAGUCUGUGACCAUGUUGGAGAUGCAGUACGCCCACAAAACAUCAGCUGCUGCUACUGGGCAGAGGAACAAACACUUUCAGAGCCCAAGGAUACCCAUUUCCCCCAGCAUAUGUGAGCUUUAGCUGUACCAACACCCACUCUGAGCCGUGCUGGGAGCCCCUGCUCACAUGGGGGGACCAUGGGCGAAUGAAUCCAUUGGCAGAAGAGAGCAGGAGUUUGAGACCAGCACAGCCUAUGUGCAUCUGUGCUUGGCUGCUCUCCUGCACCAGCCACUUCAAAGACCAAGCCCAGAGGGGACCCACAAGGCAUAGGAGGACAUCCCCUCACAUUUUGCAAAGGAAACAGUGGGGAAAAGUCCCAUUCCAGCUGUGCUGCACAGAAACAGUCACAGCCAGUUCAGCAGCUCUCCAUGUAUGUGUCAGGGGGUCCCAUUUUGACCCAAACCCAGGCUGGGAUGGCUGUGAAGGAGGUGCUAAGGCACAGCAGAUGGAUGAGCUGCUUGAUCAGGUCCUGGGAUCUGGUAACAUCACCUGAAUGAGAGGCAGUUUUAGUUUGCUCCAUGACUGGAUACCAAUAGCUUUUGGAGCUUUCAUGUUUUAACAGGGCAGAGCACUUAAAAUCCUUAGGAACUGCAGCUGGAGAACUAAAAAUCCAUAGAAAAAUCAUUCGUUUGAAGCUCACUGAUUUGCUGUGGCCUGUCUCUGAGACAUUGCUUCUUUGUCCCUUUGCUUUCUUUCCCCCAUAUUAUGGAGAGAACAUUAUCCCCUGCAAUGCUCCCUGAUUCUGAAUUUUGGAAAGAAAAAGCCAUGUGCAAGGAGAAAUGUGGUAAGAGACCCUUGUAGGCAGGGCCACACUUUCAGGUGCCAAAAGGACACCUCCUGCCCUCUACUCUGCCUCCAUUCCCCACAGACACAAGGAAAAUGAAGGUGAGACACCCAGAAAUGAUGGGAAUGAACCCAACAGUGAAGCAAUCCAGGAACACCUGAACUGAGUUGGGCCAUUUUGCAUGUGAAUCCUUCUGGUGUUAGUGCUUAUGGGCCCCCCAAGAGCAACUAUGGGAAAAAGGGAGAAAACCUGCCCAAUUUGCCUCUGGAGCAGGCCUCAUGUUCAGAACUGGGUUCCCAGUCAGAGAAGUGUGACGAGAAUGGGGUGAUGGGAGAGGGAAGUGCAACAGAAAUGGUUGGACAUUUGACAGCAGCAUCCUGAAACUCCAGUCUUGCAACACACAGCUGGUGGAUUAUAAAUUCAUAAUUUGCAUACUUUGAAAUAUUUUAAUGAGCUACUCAUAUAUGGCCAUACCUGCUGCUGGAACGGCUGGAGAAAGAACAUGAAUUUCGCACUGCGGGCUCCUCUGACAACAGAUUAUAGGAAAAAAUCACAAGCCAAAUAUUAGCCCCUAACAAGACAGACAAAUUACAUUGAUAUUUAUAUAGGACUAACAAUAAAAGGCCUGUAGAAGGUUACCAGAGCUCUGCUUCAUAUAGCACAGAUUAUGAUUAAUUACAGAUUCAAACCUUUGUUGCAAGAGAUCAGAGCCUUUUGCCCUUAGGAGGGAAAAAGAUGAAUGUAAUUUCUUCUUCUGACACUCCUCCCUCUUUCCACUGUGGCACAGAAACACCACAAUACUCAUCUGUCUUCAUUUCUCUUAAGUGCCCAGGGAAAAGGAACAAAGGCUUGAACUACAGAGUUGCAGCUCCCACUUGUGAAGCUCCAGCUGACUUGGUGGAACAAACCAUAAAACUCACAGGUCUGGGAUUUAUGCUGAGUCCCAGGAGCACAAAUCCCUCUGGGUGUGAGAAAAGCUGUGGAUGAGGGCUGAGCCUGCUGUGUGCUCGUGGGUGUCAGGAACUGCCAAUCAAGGGUGUAAAAACAACAGGGCACACAGAGAGAGGUCAGGCACUGAUCCGGAAGGAUGGAGAAGAUAAUUGGAUCUUAUCUGCAUCUGCUCUGAGCAACUGCUGCCAGCCUGCCUGGACUGUGGGGGAGAUGAGGUUCACCCCUGUGUCACUGUUUCACAGACAAUUCUUGUGUUCCAGGAUUUCCAACAGACCAAAAGAGAAUAAGACAGGACAAGGGUGAGGCUAUCCUAAUUACAGCCAAGGCUGGUCAGAGAGGUCCCUAAAUGGCCUUGGAACAGGGGGAGGUUUUGCCAUUCACCUUCUGGGCCCUAGGUUUGUCCUAAUCCAGGACCAAGGUGGGAGAAAGCUAGAAGAAGAGCAAACAAUGUGAAAAACGCAUCACUGAUUAUGGGGGACAAACACAGAAAAAAGAACAGGGGAUGUGAGAAGGAAAUAUUUGCAAAUGGCUUGAGAGGGCACUGGAGGAAAAUGUGGUACCAAGACUCUGAAUUCCUUCUGAAGGACAGAAAUUGAAAAACAAAACAAAAGGAUGAGAUCCCAACAUGAAUCCUCGCUUCUUUUCCUUGUGGCCUCAGCAAAUCUCACUCUGCUGCCACCUGCCAGGGGCCUUGGGAUGUUCCACCAGAGACAGCCAUCACAUUAUCAGGGCCCCUGAAGCCUGAAAGACACAAUAAACAGCCAGUGCUGGUGUAUCAGCAUCCCAUGGGCCAUGGGACUCCUCAUCCCGUGUGUC
ensembl:lncRNA